GAUGAACGCUGGCGGCGUGCUUAACACAUGCAAGUCGAACGAAGCAUUUAGAACAGAUUAUUUCGGUAUGAAGUUCUUUAUGACUGAGUGGCGGACGGGUGAGUAACGCGUGGGUAACCUGCCUUGUACUGGGGGAUAGCAGCUGGAAACGGCUGGUAAUACCGUAUAAGCGCACGAUGUCGCAUGACAUAGUGUGAAAAACUCCGGUGGUAUAAGAUGGACCCGCGUCUGAUUAGCUAGUUGGUGAGAUAACAGCCCACCAAGGCGACGAUCAGUAGACGACCUGAGAGGGUGACCGGCCACAUUGGGACUGAGACACGGCCCAGACUCCUACGGGAGGCAGCAGUGGGGAAUAUUGCACAAUGGAGGAAACUCUGAUGCAGCGACGCCGCGUGAGUGAAGAAGUAAUUCGUUAUGUAAAGCUCUAUCAGCAGGGAAGAUAGUGACGGUACCUGACUAAGAAGCUCCGGCUAAAUACGUGCCAGCCGCCGCCGUAACAC
rnacentral:rRNA from 1 species